rnacentral:rRNA from 1 species
AUUGAACGCUGGCGGCAUGCCUUACACAUGCAAGUCGAACGGCAGCAUGAUCUAGCUUGCUAGAUUGAUGGCGAGUGGCGAACGGGUGAGUAAUACAUCGGAACGUGCCCUGUAGUGGGGGAUAACUAGUCGAAAGAUUAGCUAAUACCGCAUACGACCUGAGGGUGAAAGUGGGGGACCGCAAGGCCUCAUGCUAUAGGAGCGGCCGAUGUCUGAUUAGCUAGUUGGUGAGGUAAAGGCUCACCAAGGCGACGAUCAGUAGCUGGUCUGAGAGGACGAUCAGCCACACUGGGACUGAGACACGGCCCAGACUCCUACGGGAGGCAGUAGUGGGGAAUUUUGGACAAUGGGCGAAAGCCUGAUCCAGCAAUGCCGCGUGUGUGAAGAAGGCCUUCGGGUUGUAAAGCACUUUUGUCCGGAAAGAAAUGGCUCUGGUUAAUACCUGGGGUCGAUGACGGUACCGGAAGAAUAAGGACCGGCUAACUACGUG